rnacentral:rRNA from 1 species
AUUGAACGCUGGCGGCAGGCCUAACACAUGCAAGUCGAACGGUAACAGGAAGCAGCUUGCUGCUUCGCUGACGAGUGGCGGACGGGUGAGUAAUGUCUGGGAAACUGCCUGAUGGAGGGGGAUAACUACUGGAAACGGUAGCUAAUACCGCAUAACGUCGCAAGACCAAAGAGGGGGACCUUAGGGCCUCUUGCCAUCGGAUGUGCCCAGAUGGGAUUAGCUAGUAGGUGGGGUAACGGCUCACCUAGGCGACGAUCCCUAGCUGGUCUGAGAGGAUGACCAGCCACACUGGAACUGAGACACGGUCCAGACUCCUACGGGAGGCAGCAGUGGGGAAUAUUGCACAAUGGGCGCAAGCCUGAUGCAGCCAUGCCGCGUGUAUGAAGAAGGCCUUCGGGUUGUAAAGUACUUUCAGCGGGGAGGAAGGGAGUAAAGUUAAUACCUUUGCUGAUUGACGUUACCCGCAGAAGAAGCACCGGCUAACUCCGUG